UCAGGUCUCAUAGCAACCCUACAGAACAGAGUAGAACUGCCCCAUAGAGUUUCCAAGGAGCACCUGGCGGAUUCGGACUGCCGAUCCCUUGGUUAGCAGCCGUAGCACUUAGCCACUACACCACCAGGGUUUCCAUUCUUAUAUAACAACGGUGUAAAGCGUGCUUGGAAAUAAUACAAAAUUCUGGAAUUCAGGAUAGAUGUUAUUUCUGGGAAGGGAGAAAAGGGAGUGAAUUUUCUGAAAAGAAAUCAGGGCAGUUAAACUGAGUCUGUAAUAUUUUGUUUCUUAUAAAAAAUAUUGAGGCAUGAACGACCAAUGUUAAGAUCUGACAAAGCUGGCUGGAGGGUGCUUUUCCGUAUGUCUGAAAUGGUUGAUUAUUUCAAAAACCCUAUGUUAUGACUUGUUUUGUCUUCCCCCCCUCCCCUCUUUCUCUUUGCUUUACAGUCUCACUGAGUUUUCAUCUCAAGCACCUUCAGCACCGUGGGCCUAGGCGUGCAUUUUUCAGGAUGGAGGACUCUUGCUGUUACGAGCCUUCUGUAGAAGGUUUAAGGUCUCUAGAUUUCAGUUCCAAGUGUGAUAACUUGUUUUCUGCUGGGUUCAGAUGAAAGGUCAGAAAGGCCAAGCCGGAGUCCGGGCUGAGUUAAUGAUUGAACAUGGUUUCCACUUGGGCUGCGUAAACUCCGUGAGCUGCUCCCGCAGCCAGCUCAUUCACAGACUGUGGCCACAGAGGGAGAGGUGCCAGGGCGGUGAGAGGGUUGGCGAGAACAAAAGGGCCUGUAAACAGCACCCCUCCCUGCCACCCGGCAGUGUCCUUCCUGCUUGCCUCAACUUAUCUACAACAGGAAGUGCUGCUCGCACAGUUAUUGCUGACCUAGUGAGGGGAGAUUCAGAAAGGACAGAGAGCUUGGUGACUUUCCAGUUAAAAUGUGACUUCAGCCUGGAGGGAGGCAAGGUGGACAGUGGGGGCAGGAGGGGCAUCAAGUUCAUGGGUGAGGGAGUUGCGAAAGAGCCUCGGGUGAUUGGAACUGCUGUGGUGGGAGCUCUCUUUGCUAACUGGAAGGUUGGCAGUUGGAACCCACCAGCAGCUCCACGGGAGAAAAACCUGGUGAUCUGUUCCUGUAAAGAUUACAGCCUAGAAAACCCUAUGGGACAGUCCUACUCUGUCAGACUGGGGUUGCCAACGAGAGAAACUGGCAAGAGAUUCAGAAGAGGGAGGCGAAGGAGCAGCUGUUUUUUCAACACUCUGAAGGUGGUUCCUACUCAUGGUGACUCCACGGACAGCAGAACAAAACGAUACCUGGUCCUGCGCCAUCUUCACGAUCGCUGGUGUGCUCGAGUCCAUUGUGGCAGCCACUGUGUAAUCUGAGCGCUUGGUGGUGCAAUGGUUAAAGGACGCAGCUGCAAAGCAAAAGGUUGGUAGUCUGAAGCCACCAGUCGCUUCGCGGGAGAAGGAUGUGGCAGUCUGCUUCUGUAAAGCUUUAUAGCCUUGGAAACCCUUUGGGACAGUUCCACUCUGUCCUGUAGGGUCACUAGGAGUUGGAAUUGACUCCAUGGCAACAAAGUUUCAAUCCAAGGGUUGCAUCUUCCAGUGCUAUAUUGGACAAUAUUCUGUUUUGAUCUUCAGAGAAGCACGUAUUUCUCUGUGAAACACCUUGGUGAGGAGAUACAAUUUCUCUGUCUGGGGACACUGAAGUCUAAAGGGAAGAAACACGGUUCCCGGAUGUGUUAGAUGAAUUUUUCAGGCAGUUGUUGCUCAUGAGUGUUUACAUAAGCCAUGCCUAUCAAGCACAAGAAAGUUUGCUAACUGCCCAGGUGGUUUGAGCAACAAACAGUCCAUAUUAUUGUUUCUUCUCUCUUGAUAUACGUUUUUUCAGUUUCCCACUCAGACUAGUUACAGCUGAAAUGAGAAUAAAAUAGUUCCUUUUAUGUCCGUUUCUUUUCAGCAAGGCAGUAUAGUACAGUGGUUAGAAGCAGGGCCACAAGAACCAGAGUACCUGGGUCUGACUCUGGUUGCGCCAUUUUGCUGAUUGGCUAUUUGGGGGUUGGUAGAACGAGGAUGAUGAAGGUAGAGAUGCCAACUCAUAACUUGUUCGAUUAAAUGAUUAAAUGAAUGCUUGCAGUAGUGCCUGACUAAGAGUACAAGUCCUAGAAAUAUGAGCUGACCAGUUUAAUCGUUUGGGGAACUAGCAGAUUUUUAACCUUUGGUCCCUCAGCUAUAGACCUCUCCUGAAAUAUUCUCAUGCGUAUACACUCAAAUUUUGAAGAUAUUUCAGGAGUUCACACAUUUCCCCGACCCAGGUGAAGAACUUCCGUUCUAGAAAACACCACCAAGAGUUGUGGAAACUUGUGUUUAUAUAUGAAAAGUAUGUUAGUCAUUGGCCAAAACCACCAAUCAGUUGCCCAUCAAGUCGAUUCCUACUCAUGGUGACCCUGGGUGUGCAGGAUAGAACUGCACUCCAAAGGGUUUUCAAGGCUGACAUUUAAGAGGUAGAUUGUCAGGCUUAUCUUCCGAGGUACCACUGGGUAGGUUUGAACCACCAACCUUUUGGCUAGUAGUCAAGCGCUUAACCAUUUAUACCACCCAGGGACUCUAGUAGGUAUUGGCAGGAUACCUUAAAUCUUUUCUAAGCCAUGGCAAAAUAAACAUGUAAACAGGUAUCCUUAGAAAUAAGACUUGGUUCCAUUGGUUUUUUUUUUGCUUUAAAAAAAUAGAUAUAUAGCAAAAGUUUGGUACCUUAACCAUUUUUAAAUGUACAAUUCAGUGCCAUUAAUUACAUUCACAGUGUCGUGCUACCAUCACCAUCAUCUAUUUCCAAAGUUUUACAUCACCCAAAAUAUAAACUCAAUGUCCUUUCAGCAAUGACUCCCAUCUGCCAUCUCACCAGCCCCUGGUGACCACUAAUAAACCUUUUUGUCUCUAUGCAUUUGCCUGGUUCUAGAUAUUUCAUGUAAGUGAGAUCAUACAACAUUUGUCCUUUAGUGUCCGACUUAUUUUUCUCAUCUUGUUUUCAACGUUCAUUCACGUUGUAGCGUGCAAGGAGCUUCAUUUUUCUUUAUGGCUGAAUGAUACUCCAUUUUACCUGUAUACCACGUUUUGUUUAUUCGUUCAUCUAUUCAUGGACACUGGGUUGUUUCCACCUUUUAGCUAUUGAGAAUAAUGCUGCAAUGAACAUAGUUAUAUACAUGUAUCUGUUUGAGUCCCUGCUUUCAAGUCUUUUGGGUAGGUACCUAGGGGUGGAAUUGUUGAGUUUGGUUCCACUUUCAAUGGUGUUCGAAGGUUUUAUUUUAUGUAUUAAGAAGGAAAUAGCAGGAGUUUUCAAGCUGGUGAUUCGUCAUCUGAAUUCUCCUGGGAAAGAAAAAGUAUGAGUUACUCUCGAGCAUUUAUUCCAGGCUGGAGCUUGCUUUGCUUAGCAGGGAUAUUUUGAAGGGCCUCUUCUUCCUCUUGAGGUUUUCAGCACUCCCUGUGAUUGCACAUGAAUGGGACUUACUGAAUCAUCUCGGUGUCUAGACACAUCAAAGAGCAAACUGCCUGUUUGUGGGGCUUACCAAGCCCAGUCAGGAGAACUAACAUGGUGGGUCACUCUGAAUCACUCUUACCAGAUGGAAGCCAUCGAGAGGUGGCUGGGUUCAUUGGGCCUGGUUCUUUCUCAGGUGCAGGCAACAUUCCUCAUCCGGAAGGCAAAGUCAUGUUGUCUUUUGCCAAAGCCAGUCAGGCAAGGAGACACUGUUGAUCUUGUCUCUGUCUCUUGGUGCCAGGGCAGAACCCAAGAGGGCUUUGAAGAUGUUGAUUAGACUUAAACCUUGAAGAGAAAUGUGGGCAUCAUUCAACAGUACAGGCACUCCAUAAAUACCUGGGGAGUGAAUUCAAGGGACCCACUACCAGGAAAACCGGGCUACUCGGUUCAGGCAACUAAUUAAAAGAAAUAUAUAUUAUUUAAAAAUGUGAUGAAUAGCAAAGAGCAAAUAAUUGCUUUGGGUUCCUGUUUGGAAGCUUAAUCCAGCCUACAGCUAAAUCUUCCACUCCCCCACUAUUUUUCACAUAUUCCUUUUCCUGUAGGUCAUCUGCUUUGCUGCACACCAAAACAGAUUUAAGCUCAACCACACCCCACACUAAACUGUAUAUUUAUUUAUACAUAGAUAUUCACAUACACACACAUAUUUACAAAUGUAUGCACUAAUUUGACCAAUAGUUGAUGUUGAUUAUUUAUGCUUUGUAGAUAAUUAAAUAUCCAAUAACUGUGAUUUCGAUGUUCCCUUUUCAUAUGUUAGAACUAAAUUUUUUUGACCAGACUUAUUGUCCUAACUGAGACUAGAGAGACCCCAGAGGUCAUGGUCCCUGGACCUUCUGUUAGCCCAAGACUGGAACCAAUGCCAAAGCCAAAUCUUCAGACAGGACUAUGAGACAGAAAAUGAUACUGGUGAGGAGUGAGAUUCUUGGCUCAAGUUGACACAUGAGACUAUUUGGGCAGCUGCUGUCUGGAGGUGAGAUGAGAAGGCAGAGGGGGACAGGAGCUGGCUGAAUGGACACAGGGAAUACAGGGUGGAGAGGAGUGUGCGGUCUCAUCAGGGGGAGUGCAGCUAGGGGUACAUAGCAAGGUGUAAGUUUUUGUAAGAGAGACUGACAUGAUUUGUAAACUUUCACUUAAACCACGAUAAAUAAAUUAAAAAAAAUUUUUUUCUACAUCGCAACCACUUUUGUAUGCUCUGUGAUAACCUGAUCCUAUCACAAAGUCCUUAAAUAAAUGAGAUGAAUAAUGUUUAGAGGAAUUUACAUUUUACAGCCUAAUCAAUAAAUAAACUAAUCUCUGGGGUCUUUCUAAAAAAAAAAAAAAAAGUUGUCAUCGAGCCGAUUCCAACUCAUAGUGACCCUAUAAGACACAGUAGAACUGCUUCAUAGGGUUUCCAAGGAGGCUGGUGGAUUCGAACUGCCGAACUUUUAGUUAGCAGCUGUAGGACGUCAUAGCUCUUAACCACUGUGGGGUCUUUCUAAGGCUUAUCAAUUCCCAAACUUUGCAAAGCAUGUAUACUUGAGGUUAUAUACUUGGCUUCAUAGACUUCAUUAAAGUAGACAGGUCCAUUCCACAGCGGGCUAAUUGAAUAUGAGGCUGUUUUUGACGUGUGAAAGGAGGAAAACAAUCUCCUGUGUCCCAAAUACCACAGGAGAAACGACAAAGAGGCUCAGUGUGUACACCACAAACCCGAAAGGGACAUUUUGAACUGAGAGGAGUGUACACGUUGGACAAUCAGUGAAUCGGGGCACAGCAGAUCCUCUGAGAAAUAUGGUCUUUAAAGGAGGGCAUCUCUGGGGCUUCAUGACCAAAGACUCUCACCUCUGAUUGGAACAAAGUCACUAUUAAAGGCAUUCACAGCCCCUUGUACCUCUCCUUUAUACACUGUCACUGUUGGAGUUCACCUUGAUUGUCACAUUUGAUCAAUGUCCUGCUGUCCUCCCAGUCUGAGAGCUUCCUGGGGGCAGAUACUGUCCACACCGAGCACAGCUCCAGGCACGUAGUAGAUUCUCCAGAAAUACUUCUCGAGGGACUGAAAGAACAAAUCCUCUUUUUUACAGCUUUUCUUGAGCAAGGCAUGAUUGCGCAGUCAUUAUGUGUGUGGCUGUGGAGUUUGGUGGCCAAGGUCUGAGCCCCAGCUGUUACUUGCCUCCUGUGUAUCUUUGGGUAGGUUACUUCUGCCCAUGCCUUGGUGUCCACCUCUGUACGAUGUGGAAAACAAAAGUACCAGCUUCACAGGGUGGUUGUACUUCCUGGGCGAUUGUACUUCCUUUUUAUAUACCCUCCUCCAUUAAAUUCCAUUGCCGCUGAGGACAGAGUAGAGCUGCCCCAUAGGGUUUCCAAAGAGCAGCUGGAACUGCCAGCCUUUUGUUUAGCAGCCGAGCUCUUAACCACUGUUCCACCAGGGUUCCUUUUAUAUAAUACUGUCUAGACUUAUGUUGACUUUUUGAUGCUCUUAAUUAUUUUGAACGCACUAUGCUCUUUAUAUUUUUAAAGUGUAUUAUUAGUGAUUUUGGUCACUUUCUUCAUAAAUUAAGUAGUCCAUAAAUUUGGGUCAAGGAAAAGGGGAAGAAAUCUAAUUUUUAAAAAACAAUUCCUGGUGAAAUGUGUGAAGCCAAGCUUUCACCACCUGUUACCAGCACAUCUUUACUUUGAGAAAACAGAAUCCCCUUUUAUGAGAAAAAAAUGUGAAAAAUGCAUCUUGGGACUGUCUCGAGCAGCACUGGAUUUGGGGAAGAUCAUGACAUUUGAAAAACGAGAAGAAAAAGGAACGAGAGUUCAAACAAGCAUUUCCUAAGUUUUAUGCUGUUAAAAAUAUUGACGUGUGUGUUCAAAAUUUAUUGCCGAUAACUGUCUGAAAGGCAGAGAAAAGCACUCAGAGAAGAAACGAAAGGAGAAAUGUCUUUAGAAUGGCACCUAGAUGAAUUCAGUCCAGCAGACUGUCACGGAGCACGGGACACCUCCAUCAGCACACCCCUCAAGGUGUACGAAAAGUAUCAUUUUCACUAAAGCAAAACAAAUUUGGGAGGAGAAAGCUUCUACUCUUCAAAUCUCGUGAUUAAUUCUACAGCAUAGAUACCCGAGAGCUGAUGCACCUUGGAAGGCCCACGUGCAAGGCAUCUUGAUGAUUAAGAGUUCUGCAAAUAUUUUCUUAAAGCUGAUAAAGGGAGGUUCUGCAGGACAGGACAAUGAGGGGGCAGCGAUAAGUGAUUAUGUCACUUGGGUCAAUGUCCAAUCUAGGAGAUAAAAGCAAACUCAACAAAUUAGACUGAAUUAUAAAUGGAGCCCUGGCUUUCAACCAAUAUUGUUCAAUACUUGCCGAUAGAUUGAUUGACUGACCCAUUGGCAGAUUCUUUAAGGCCUACAAAGUAUGGAGAAAUGAGCAAGUCUCUGGGGUCAGACAGAUCUGGAUUUGAGUCCUAGUCUUCUGCUCACUGUGUUUCCCCUAAGCAAGAUAUUUAGUUUCUCUAAGGAGCCCUAGUGGCUCAGUGGUUAAGAGCUACCACAACUAACCAAAAGGUCUGCAGUUCAAGUCCACCAGUUGCUCCAUGGAAACCCUAUGGGGCAGUUCUACUCUGUCCUAUAGUGUCAAUAUAAGUCAAAAUCAACUUGAUGGCAAUUGGUUUUGGAUUUUAAGCCUAUUAAAAAGGGGCCCUGGUGGUGCAAUGGUUAAACACUCGGCUACUAACCAAAGCUUGGUGGUUUGAACCCACCCAGUGGUUCUGUGGGAAAAAGACCUGAUGAUCUGCUUCUGUAAAAAUGACAGCCUUGAAAACCCUGUGGGGUAGUUCUACCCUGUCACAUGGGAUCACUGUGAGUUGAAAAUCAACUUGAUGGCAACUAACAACAACAAACCUAUUUAAAAAAUAGGAAGACUUCACUCUUUUGGCAAGGCUAUGUGGGGAAUAGUUGGGACAAGGUAUAUGAAAGUGCCUAGAACACACUUAAUAAACGUGGCUGUUAGUUGCCAUCAAAUGGGCACUAAUUCAUGGUGACUCCACAUAUAACAGAAUGAAGCAUUGCCGGGCCCUGCACCGUCUUCAUGAUCACUGGUAAGCUUGAGUCCAUUGUUGUGGCCACUGUGUAUUUUGAGUGUCUUCCAAUCUAGGGAAAUCAUCUCCCAACACUAUAACGGACAAUAUUCAAUUGUGAUCCAUAGGAUUUUCACUGGCUAAUUUUCAGUAGUAAAUCACCAGGCCUUUCUGCCUAGUUUGUCUUCAUCUAGAAGCUCUGCUGAAGCCUGUCUACCCUGGGAGACCCUACUGGUAUUUGAAAUAUCAGUGGCAUAGCUCCCAGCAUCACAGCAAGACGCCAGCCAGCACAGUAGGACAGACUAACAGACAGGUGGUCGUUCUAUUAGAUACCGCACUUCACUUCGUGAGAGGAAUCCAACGAGAUUCCCUAAAAGCCCAAGGAAAGUUUUAGUAAGUUUCUAGGGUGUGCAAAAUAGAGGUUGGAAAUGCGUUGUGGCAGAUAAUGUAAGAGUGAGGGAGGCUGGGUCAGGAUACACAGGGGUUGAGGUCUGAGAGACAGGCAUACCCAAGCGAGCAGCCAGCUCCAGCUGACAGCCUACAAACCAGAUUUUCUGUUUUUCAGUGGAACCCAGAAAUUGGAGAAUGUAUGUCAAGCUUUUUAAAUACCUGAUCUCUAUUGUGAGCUCAUAAUGUACCAGAAACCUUCUAAGAGUUUUAAUGUAUUGUAUUAAAAUGUAUUUCCCUAACAACUCUAUGCGUUGUGUGUUGUGAUCACUGUGAAGGAUCAAUAGCACUCACUAUCGCCCGAAAUGGAAAAAAAUGAUAAUUUUCUUAUUUCCGUCAAAUCUCCUAGGGCCUAUUCUAUGAGUAGACACAACUGAUUGUGUUUGUAUUUCCAGAUGUUUCUGUUGUAUCUUAUUUUCCCUAUUUGGACCCAGAACAUUUCAUUUGACAUUCUCUGUCCUUAUGAAACCCUAGUGGCGUAGUGGUUAAGUGCUAUGGCUGCUAACCAAAAAAGUCAGCAGUUUGAAUCCACCAGGCGCUCCUUGGAAACUCUAUGGGGCAGUUCUACUUUGUCCUAUAGGGUUGCUAUGAGUUGGAAUCAACCCGACGGCAACAGGUUUUUUUUUUUGGGGGGGGGCGUCCUUAUAAAGAUAGCUGUUUCAUUUUUGCCCCUUGGGUACAGAAAUAUGAGUUUCACAUCACCCCUGCCCUGUGCCAAGCACUGAGCUAGGUACAUUUCACAUUUUCUAACCCUCAUGAGAACACAUUUGCACCAGAUAUGUUAGCCUCCAUUUAUAGCUGAGGCUCAGAGAGUUUAAGUAAAUUCCUCAAGUCACACAGCUAGGAAACAGCUGCUCCAGGAUUAAACCCUGGGUUCAGUUAACUCCACAGUCUGUGUUUUUUCCACUAACCCCAGCAUAGAAUUUACAGUCACGGAACUCAGACGUUUCAUUAGAGAGUAGGGGCAUUUGGGGAUUUAGGUUUUAACAUCACCUAAGCAAUGCAAGGAAACCCUGGUGGUGUAGUGGUUAAGUGCUACGGCUGCCAACCAAAGGGUCGGCAGGUCGAAUGCACCAGGCGCUCCUUGGAAACUCUAUGGGGCAGUUCUACUCUGUCCUAUGGGGUUGCUAUGAGUCGGAAUCGGCUUGAUGGCACUGGGUUUGGUUUGGUUUGGUUUAAGCAAUGCAAAAACUGCUUGUUACGUUGUUAGGUGCCAUCAAGUCAGUUCCGACUAUUAGCGACCCCACGUACAACCGAAUGAAACACUUGCCUGGUCCUGUGCCAUCCUCAUAAUCAUUGCUAUGCUUGAGCCCAUUGAUGCAUCACCGGCUCAGUAGAUCUUAUUGAGUCUCUUCCUCUUUUUCACUGACCCUCUACCAAGCAUGAUGUCCUUUUCCAGGGACUGGUCCCUCCUGAUAACAUGACCAAAGUAUAUGAGAUGAAGUCUCACCAUUCUCGCUUCUAAGGAGCAUUCUGGCUGUACUUCUUCCAAGACAGAUUUUUUUAUUCUUCUGGUAGUCCAGUCGAUGGUAUAUUCCAUAUUCUUCACCAAUACCAUAAUUCAAAGGCAUCAAUUCUUCUUCAGUCUUCCUUAUUCAUUGUCCAGCUUUCACAUGCAUAUGAGGCAAUUGAAAACACCAUAGCUUGCUUGGAUCAGGGGUACCUUAGCCCUUAAAGUGACAUCUUUGCUUUUUAACACAUAAAGAGGUCUUUUGCAGCAGAUUGCCCAAUGCAAUGCGUCUUUUGAUUUCUUGACUGCUGCUUCCAUGGAUAUUGAUUGUGGAUCCAAGUAAAAUGAAAUCCUUGACAACUUCAGUCUUUUCUCUGUUUAUCAUGAUGUUGCUUAUUGGUCCAGUUGUGAAGAUUUUUGUGUUCUUUAUGUUGAGGUGUAAUCCAUACUGAAGGCUGUGGUCUUUGCUCCUCAUCAGCAAGUACUUCAAGUCCUCUUCACUUUCAGCAAGCAAGGUUGUGUCAUCUGCAUAUCGCAAGUUGUGAGUGAGUCUUCCUCCAAUACUGAUCCCAUGUUCUUCUUCAUAUAGUCCAACUUCUCAAGGUAUUUGCUCAGCAUCCAGGUUGAAUAAGUAUGGUGAAAGAAUAAUAACUUAGAGUUAUGAUAACCUUCACGUCCUUUAAAUCAUCCAUGAAGCACAUCAUAAAGGUGUUUUCAUCUCUCAUUAUUCCACUGGCCAGCAUUCUCUCUUAGUGUUGGUAGAGGUCCCUGCCCCUUUGGUUGAACACAGCAUGAAGUGGUUGGCUUUAGCGUAGGGGCCAUGUGGGAUGUGUACAUUUUGGGAUCCCAGAACUAUACACAGACCAGCAGAUGCUCUCACGUUGGGAUGCGCAUGAGAAAUUAGGCAAAAGCUGGGUCCUGUCUCCUAUCUGUUCUCAUCAAGUGAGGUUGCUGGAAUCACCUGUGCUACAUAACUUCUGUUGUCCUCAGCCAUCCAUGCUCGCAUAGUUUCACGUGGGUGAGAUGUGCCUAUAAUGCAACUCCACUCCAUCACCUGCAGAUCUGCUCCUGGAAAGAUUAAAACCAAAACCCAAUGCCAUCGAGGAAACCCUCUGGGGCAAUUCCGCUCUGUCCCAUCUGGUCCCCAGGAGACGAAAUCAACUCCAUGGCACCUAACAGCAGCAGCAAUCUCACAGAUGAACGUGAACUUGCAGUUGUGGUGAGCAAUGAUGGAGUGGACAUGACGUGCGAGGUGCACUGUGUGAGGGUUCUGAUCACAGACCUGGAGCCAGUCCACUUUCCUUGAAUCCUGGCUCCUCUACAGCCUUGCAGCUGACACCGAGCAGAUUACUGACAGAUUAUCACUCUGUGCCUUGGUUUCCUCAGGUCUGAAAUGGGGAGAAUUAUAAUACCUACUGGACAGGAUUGUUGUGAGGUUCAUGAAUUAAUAACUGUCAGUGUUUAGAAGAGUGUCUUGUGGCACAGUGGUUAGGUGCUUGGCUGCUAACUGUGGGGUUGGCAAUUCAAACCCACCCAGCGACUCCGCAGGAGAAAAGACUUGGUGAUCUGGUCCCAUAAAGAUGACAGCCUAGGAAACUCGAUGGGGUAGUUCUAUUCUGUCCUAUAGGGUCACUAUGAGCCAGAAUUGACUUCACAGCACCCCAAAACUAGAGUUAUGAUCAUCAUGAUGACAAUAACAUCUAUGUCAGUGUCCUUUCUAGCUGAGCUGCUCAGGGAGGAGAGGCAGGCAAACACUGUGGUUGUUCACCCAGAUCCCCUCAUACCCCUUCACCACAUUGUGUUCCCUUUCCCCAGCUUCUGAACACCUUGCUCCUAAUGGCAGGCUCCUGCAGCCUUCUCCAAAGGACCACCUUGGGCUACAUUAGCCAUUUUGCCAGAGUACGCUAACAGCCAGACAUACCUGGGAGUUUAUAUUCCCAUGGGGCAGCCAUGCAGGAAUAGGGACACUCCACACCUUACCAUGUGGAGAAUGAACAUUGGAGUAAUGUCUGCUCCAGAGCGGCCGGCUGAGGCUGGACUUCCCCUGCAAACUCACUGUUGCUCAACUCCUUCCCCUUCCCUGUCCUGUUGCCCUGUUCCUCAAGGUUGUCCCCUGGGAGCAUGACCUUCGUAAAUCACUCCCACACAAAUUCUCUUCCUGGGGUCAGUCCCCAGGGGACCAAUGUCAUCAAGGAAGACUUCCAGCUGGAAGCUUGAGCUGGGAUCGGAUAAUGAAUAGGAAUAGAAGAACAGAUAAGGAAAGAGCAUGCCAAGAGGAAGGCUGCAGGAGAAGGAAGCACAGGUAAGAGUGCUCAUGGGCGGACAGAGUGUAAGGAAGAGAAGAAACUGGCGAAGCCAGUGUGGCCAGAGCCCAGAGGCUUCCAGGAGAGGGACGCUGCGACUGAGGCCUGUGGGCUGGUGGGCCAUAUUUCACAGGACAUUGGAGUCCAGCUUAAGGAAUUGGAUCUUUUUGUUGUUGUGAUAACUUUACAGGGCAAAGCUUCCCAGUUCAGGACUAAGCCCUGCCUAGGUUCUUACCUUCUUCUGACCAAGAAUGACCAGGAGAGGUUCAGAGGUUCCACACGAACAAAGAUUUAUUAGGGACAGAGAGAAAGUAAAAGGCUCAUUAGGGAGAAAGGGAGAAGGGUUUCCACCUAAGCUAGCUGCCAGUCUCUUCCUGAAGAAAGGACUUCCUAGAGCUUAUAAAAGUUUUUAGGAGGGAAAAAGGCAUUAUCUUUAUUCAUUAGAUGGGUGGAGAUUUCCAGGAGAAGGGGAGGGAUUAUGAAAAUAAAAUGUGUGUGUAGUUAGAAUUCAAGGUGGUCUUCCUCACAGAGAUUGCUGAAACUAAGAUGGAGCCUGUCACAAAGGCUGCCAGGAUGUCAAACAGGACUUAUUCUGGGAUGUUGUACAUACGUGAUGCCUCUGGAUCUUGGUUUGAGCCCCAGCAAGGGGUUCAUGUUUGUCUCAUGUGGAAGGUCAUUCACAGGCCACGUUGAUCUUUACUGCUCAUGCUCUGCACCCGGUGAAGCCUUGAAAAACAACUUGGGAGGAUUAUCAGUAAUUUAUAGUUGGUCAAGCACAUAGGGCCUUGAAAUGUAGCCCAUUAUUCUAAGCACCUAGUGUGUUACUUACAAGAAGUUUUCGGGUGCCAGCAGCAAAAGUUAUAUGGUGGUCUGCACUUAGGUUUAGAUUCAGAGACUAUUUAAUUAUAGCUGGUCAAGCACACGGGGCCUUGAAAUGUAGCCCUUAUUUAAUUCAGCCAGCCUGAUCUCUUCUGUCUCAAUAAUAUACACCAAGACAUAUGUCAAUGCAUCAAUUUCUACAUUUACAAUGCAAUGACAUUGAUUAUAUUCUUGUUGUACAGCCAUUCUUGCUGUCCUUUUCCAAAGCAUUCUACUGCCAUGAACAUAAACUCAAUGCCCUUCAAGCAAAAACUCUCCCUUCUCCCAUCCCUCCCACUUCUGGUAACCAUUAAUGAUCUUGGGUUUCCAUGUAUUUGCUUAUUUCUUAUGAAUGGAAUCAUAUGAUAUUUGUCCUUUCGCGACUGAUUUAUUUCACUCAGCAUAACGUUUUCAAGGUUCAUCCAUGUUGUGGUAUGCAUCAGGACUUCAUUUCUCUUCACGACCACAUAAUAUCCGAUUGUGUGUGUGUGUGUGUGUGUGUGUGUGUACCACGUUUUGUUUAUCCAUUCAUCUGCUGAUGGGAGUUUCAGUUGGUUCCACCUUUUGGCUAUAGUGAAAAAUUCUACCAUGAACCUUUGGUGAACAGGUUUCUGUUUGUGUUCUUUUUUUCAUGUCUUCAAUGGUGUACACCUAAGAUUGGUAUUGCUGGGUCGUAUGGUAGUCCUAUGUUCAACAUUUUGAGGAAUUGGAUCCAUGCCUAAGAGCAGUGGGAAGUCACAGAAGCAGGGAUGAGAGAAGAUCAGGUUUGGGUUUUGAAUUGACCAAUAUGACUAGUGUGGGAAGAAUGGUGUGGAGGAAGCAGGAGUCGAUGGAGGAAGUCGGUGAGCUGCUACUGCAAGGAAAGAGCUACUGAUCACCACGACCAGGGUGAUGGGGAUGGUGGUAGAGAGAGAAGUAGAUGGACUUGAAAAAUAUUUAAGCAGCAAAAAAAAAAAAAAAAUGGAAAAUGAUUUUGUGAUUCAAAUAAUCAUCUUUCAGUAACACUGUUAUCUAAGUCUCAAUUUUUCUUAAGGGUAGAUUUUGUGAGAUGGGGCUUGUAAAAUGGCCACAUGAGAAAAUUUCCUAGUAGUAAGCCAAAGUUUAAAAUUUUUAAUUUUGUUGUAACAAAUGCAAUGAAGAGGUCU